rnacentral:lncRNA from 1 species
GUCUUUUCCCCAGUAUUCAUGAAAAUUACCCGGUCCAAUUCAAAAUAAAAUAAAAAGAAAAAAAAAUAAAGAGGAAAAAAUAUACACUCAGUAGGGUUUUCAAAUUGAGGUGUUCUUUCCCAAUUUCUGCCUUUGUCUUUCUUGCAAUGUUCCCCUAUGUCAGCCAUCAGUUCAGCUUUGGGUCAUCGGAAAAGUACCUUGGCCUCCUUUGCAUCACUCUCGUUUCAGCUUGCACAAGUAAUUUUCCUUCUUGACUUUUCUUUUGUUCUCUGUUGACUGAUAGAAAUUCUUGUAUUGAAUGUUAAGCCAAUGUUUUCAUGGUAUUUAAUUGACAGUGGAGCUAUUAGGUGUGUUUGGUACGAACGAAAACAUUUUCUGAAAAAGAUUUUCCAGUUUUCUUAUGUUUGGUUGGCUUAUAUGUUUUGGAAAAUGUUUUUCAAACCAACUUAUUUUCUUUAAAUCUAAGGAAAAUAACUUUCCUUCAAAAAUUAAGAAAAACAUUUUUGCAAAACUCUCUUUCAACCUCACUUUAAAGUUGAAAUGUUCAUUCAAUUCUCAGAAUCAUCUAUCCCCGCCCCCAAUACCCAUCACCCCAAAACCACCCCUAUGCCUACCCCACCCNNNNNNNNNNNNNNNNNNNNNNNNNNNNNNNNNNNNNNNNNNNNNNNNNNNNNNNNNNNNNNNNNNNNNNNNNNNNNNNNNNNNNNNNNNNNNNNNNNNNNNNNNNNNNNNNNNNNNNNNNNNNNNNNNNNNNNNNNNNNNNNNNNNNNNNNNNNNNNNNNNNNNNNNNNNNNNNNNNNNNNNNNNNNNNNNNNNNNNNNNNNNNNACCUCCUACUAACCUCUCUGCUCCGCUAAUUUUUUUUAAUUUUUUUUGACAAACAAAAUUCAAAACUCUUUCUUACCCUACCCCUACUAACUAUUCUGUCAUCCCCACCCGCCUGCCUACCAACCCCCUUCCCAAAAAAGGAUUUAAUUUUUUUAAUUUAUAUUUUAAAAAAGGAUUCUAAAAUAUAUUUUUAUGCUUUAGCUAAACACUAAAAUGUAUUUUUUUAAAAAUAUUUUUUCAUUCAACAAUCAAAUACUAAAAAAUAUUUUUCGAAAAUUAUUUUCCAUCUACCAACCAAACAUAAGAAAAUAAGUAAGAAAUCAACUUGUUUUUCAGGAAAAUGUUUUCUAGGAAAAUAUUUUCCUUCAUACCAAACACACCCUUAGUGUAAAUUUCAAAAAAUUAAAAUAAAAUUACGUAUGUUUUCAUUCAUAUAUUAAAUAGUUAAGAACCCCUUCUCUAGUGAAAAAACCUAUAGCCGCCAAAACCUUAAUUUUUCACGGUAAAUCAAUGACAAUAUGGUUGUUCCGGCCAAUGAUCAACCCCUUAUGAGGGUUGGUCAAAUCAAUCCAGAUCCCCCUAAUAUCACUUAUGCAACUUUUCUAAAACCAACACCAGUGAACCAAAAACCUAUACCCUUAGCCAAUAUCAUACUUACAUGGAGAACCUAGAAUAUUGUGGGAACAAAAAGAAGUGGAUCAAAUGAUAGUCAACGAAAACCUGCAAUAUGCAGUUAUUGGAAGUUUUUUGUAUGGAUGAUUGGAUAUUCAAGGUCUGAGAAAAUUAAUUUCCAAACAAUGUGAAUUGAAAGGUAAAUGCAAUAUAAGACUGUUGAGCAAUAGACUUAUUUUGAUCAGGGCUACACAAUUAGAAGAUUAUGUCCACUUACUUUCAAAGCCAGCCUUCUACAUUAGUCAUCGUAAUUGGUCAUAUACCGUGAGAACUUUGAAGUGGGAUCCUAUGUUUAAUUCGAAGGAGGAAACAAUAAUAGCUAUUGCAUGGAUCUUGUUCCCAUCACUCCCUCCAAACUUUUUUGGAAGAGAGACUAUUUUCUCACUGGCAACAAUAGUAGGAAAGCCGUUACAAGUUGAUAUGGCAACUAAAAAUCAGACUAGACCCAACUGUGUGAGUAAAAGUAAAGGUUGAUCUAUUGGGAAAAUUUCCUAAGAGCAUUAACAUUGGUGUGAAAAAGAAAAAUGGAGAAAUUACUAAGAAGUGGAUAAGGAUAAAAUAUGAUUAUGUCCCUAAAAAUUUUAAAACAUGCAUGAUUCUGGAACAUAAUGAGCAACAAUGUUAUGUAGAAUAUCUAGAAUUAUAUCCUAAAAGGGAAGAAAAGGAAGAAACUGACAACCAGCAAAAAGAAAAGAAUACAAAAAACAAUAAUAAGGCAGAGUGUGAUUUACAGAAAAGAAAGAAUGAGUAGCGACAAAAAGUAGAAAGGAUACAAAAGGAUAACAAUUAGGGAAAAUUUAAAGAGCAAAGAAAAAAAAUAGGUGGAAAUAAAAAUAGAAAUCAAGGCAAAUGGAGACAAGAAACAAGAUGGAAUAAAGUUGGAGUAGCCAUGGGCAAUCAAUUUGAUGCACUAGGAAAAACAGAACAAGGUAAGGAUCUAGAGAAACCAAUAAAUGAGGAAGCAGGAAAAGUGAGGGAAUCGUGGACUUGAAAAGGGAAGGGAAUAAAACAAAGCAAAAGUGAUAAAAAAAAAAAAAGAAACUGGAGGAAGCUACUGAAUCUCAUGAUGAGGAAAAGAGUAAAAAUCAGGCCAGUAGCUCAUCAGGAUUGAGUAAGGUUAGGAAAUCAGCAGAAGGAACAAAGAAGUCAAUAAGAGAAAACAAUUCAAAAGAAGUGAAUACUCCUCAACAAUCCAGCAACAGGUUUCAACAGGAUUGACAAUAACAUGCUCUUGAAAGCUUGAGUUAUUCCACAACUUAAAAAGAAAAGUAGAUCACAGAACAAGAUUCUCCUUCUACAAAAGCACCAGAAUUAAUAGAGGAAAAUGAUGAACAUAUAGAGCAGAGAAGGGAUGAAGAAGAAGAUGAAGGCAUGGAAAGCAACAUUCAACACAUUAGUAAGGCAGGAGAUCAUUUUCCACUAAUUGAGUUUGCAUAUAUUAAUAGUUGUCAAUUAAGUAUCAAAAUGGCAUCUUAUGAAGCUUUAUAUGGAAGAAAGUGUAGAUCACCAAUUGGGUGGUUUGAAGUGGGUGAAACUACCUUAUUUGGGACAGAUCUUGUUUAUCAAGUUAUAGAAAAAGUUAAGGUGAUACAACAAUGGUUAUAAAUAGCUCAAAGUUGACAUAAAUCAUAUGCGGAUACUAGAAGAAGUGGGUUAGAGUAUGCUAUAGGAGAUUGGGUGUUCUUGAAGGUGUCUCUAAUAAAAGGGGCAAUGAGGUUUGGUAAAAAGGGAAAACUAAGUCCCCGUUACAUAGGGCCAUAUAAAAUUAUUCAAAGAUUUGGCGAAGUGGCAUGAGUUAGACCUACCCCAACAACUUUCAAUGGUUCAUCCGGUGUUUCAUGUCUCAAUGCUUCGCAAGUGCAUAUGAGAUCUAUCAUAUACUACUCCUACUAAAGAUGUGUAGGUUAUGGAAGAACUCACCUAUAAAGAAGUGCCUACUGCUAUGCUAGAUUGGAAAGUUAAGAAGUUAAGAAAUAAAGAAGUAGCUUCAGUAAAAGUGCUUUGGAGGAUCCCGCAAGUAGAAGAAAUCACAUGGGAAACCGAAGAAGCAUUGAAGUCAAAGUACCCUUAUUUAUUUGAAUCUAAAUACUUGGUCCAAAGAUGCUGAUUUAGGGUAUAAACAAGUAAGUAUAACUACAUAAGUAUUAUGUGUAUAUAAACGACUUUAAACUUAGUCUUAUAUUCAUUUAGGCUAGCUAGUUAUGCUAGCAUUCGAGGAUGAAUGUUUCUAAGGGGGGUAGGAUAUAACACCCUAUAUUCCACAUGUACUAGUUCUACUCAUGUGGCAUUUGAUAUGGACUUAUAGGGUAGGUUAAGGGCUCAAGUAUCCUAUGUGAUAAGGGGUGGUAAGAUAGGUUUAAAGGAAUUCUCGCAUAUAUUGAAACAUGGUAUGAUUAUGUUACCAUCAAUGAGAGUAUCUAAACUUGGACCCUUAAGUAGGUAUUUGAAUUUAAAGGAUGAAGUGACCAAGUGUACAUAAGUUUUAAGUUUAACUAUAAGAAUUUUGAUCUUAAAAUAGAAUAAAAUAUUGAGGUGCUUGCUUGACUUAUUUAAGUUAGUAGGUGAAUCACCUACUUUGACCUUUUGACCAACCUAAGAACUAAGUAGGUGCAUUGCCUAUUAAGGCUCCCUUGACUAGCUUAUUGGGCCAAAUACACUACCACAUACUUAAGUUAAUUCUGGCAAAUUAAAGAAGAGAAAAGGAGGAGAAUGGGCAGCCAAGGCCCAAUAGUUUUUAAUCCACUAAGGCCCAAUAUAAUGGGCAAGUAGGUGCAUCACCUACUUGAUAAAUUAUGGCCCAAAAAUGACCAAGAAAGUCGGCCAAGAGCAGAUCUUUUUAAAGGGAUUAAAACCAGCCCUUAUAGCUCAUUUUAACUAGCCAAAAAAAAAUAGCUUUCAAGAUUUUCUCUCUUGUCCUCUCUUAGCUAUUCAGCAGUCCUAAAAUUCCACUAGGGUUCUUUGGAAACCUUCCUUCCAAGCUAAAGGUAAGUUAGCAAAUCAUGAGAACAUCUUAAGAAUACUAUAAGAAUUAUGUUCUCCAUGAUUAAACUAUAAGAUAUCCUUUUUUUAGUUUAGCAGUCCCUUUAUCCUUGAUUAUUAAGAGAUUUUCCUCUUCACUUUUGGUUUGUGAGUAAAGGGAUCAAGCUAUUUAAGAGAUAUACAUUAAGGGAAUAAACUACCACCGAAAUUAAGGUAUGGCUACUUUCUAUUUUUGCUCUUUUCCUAUAUACGUGUGUUGGUUGAGGAUUAUGUAUAUAAUGUUGUGAAGAACUCAAUGGAUGGUGAGUUCAAUUUUUGGUUGCCAUAUUGAGGGAUAUUUAGGGUUGUUUUGGAUCAAUUUUAUUUAUGUAUGUUGGGGGAUGUAUAGUUGACAUUGGGAAAAAGGUAUGAAUAAUUUCCAUUGAAAGGUAGAAAAAGGGUAUAAUGGUACACCACUGAAUUUAAUGUCGCAUAAGUUUAUUGCCCACAUCACUUGAUAUACUAUUUUGAGAGUACAAUAAAGAUAAAACUAUUAAGGGGAUCUUAUAAGAAGUUACAUUGCGUGUGAAUGUAAUUGGAGAAGAACGAGGUUGAGAGAACACCCUUGGAUUAGUUAAUCGUGGAUUACUACCCAGUUACUAUUUUAGUAAGUUUAAAUGAUGUGAAUAUGUUAAUUAUCUACUAAUACUAGUCUUAUGCUAUUGUAUAUUAGUAAUCCAAAAGGGAAGACGUUAAGUAAAAGUGUGAUCAGUUGUGCAGCAAGGUAUAUAUGGUUCAUCGAUCCUAUACUCUUUGGCAUGAAUCUAACUCCUUUGUUACAAAGUAAUCUUCCUAAGCGUUCUUCCUUUCAAGUUAUACAUAACUGCAACGUACAACCUCCAAGGUAUCUAACAACCUUAUUCUAACUUGUUAGGUUGUUAAAGCACCUAAAGAUGUGUUUGUUACUAGAUCUGUCCAUUUUUCUUUCUAAAUACUAGUAUGAUAUGGGUGCUUUCAGAAAUAAUCCUUACAAGUUGUUCUCUUAGUUAACAUUACCCAUGGUGUUAGUUAAGCUCCUAUAUGUUAUAUUUCUAUUAUUUUUGUAUUCUAUCUCAUUUCUACUACAUCUAGUGCAUUUUUGCAUACCUUUUGCUACUGGUCCAAAGUUCCAAAUCUAAUACAUGGCCACGAAAACAACAACUUUAAAGGUGAAAAAAAUGAUCUGAAGUGAUUCUAUAUAUAUUUUUGGGUGGUAUCCCAGGGGUGGCAGAAACAUCUAACAUGGGUCGAUCCCAACAUUACGGGUGGUAUCCCAGGGGCUAAAGGAAAGCCUAGCAUGGGUCGAUCCCGAUUUGUGUACUUAUGAUAAAUGUAUCCCAGGGGUUAAAAUGCCUAGCAUGGGUCGUCCUCUUUUACCACUGAUCAGCAGGUUAUUUGUAUUAUGCCUUAUAAUCUUAUAAAGUAAAUUAGAAUAAAAAAAAGUAAAGGAUGUAAUGUACAUGAUCCCAUAAGUAUAAGCAAAAUUGGUAUUCUAUCCUUAUCUUUAUUGUUAAUUAUUGAUAAAUGAUUUUGUUUUAUAGUCACUUCAUGCCGUACAUAAUCAGUACACUCUUCGUAUUGACACCCUCUUGGGGGACACUAUCUUUCAUGCUGCAGGUACAGGUACUCCAGCUAGUAGACUACCCCCGUAGGAGCACAGGACAUCCAGCUGCUGUCGGUGAGAUCCAAGUUGGUUCGGAGCUUUUCGAGUCUGUUAUAUGUAUUUUGGUAUUAUAUAGUAGCUAUGAGCAAGGUGGGGGUUUGCCCCUACCUUAACUAAGUCCAUAUGUCUUUUAAAGGCUUGCAGACUAAUUUGAAGUUAAGUGUGGUAGUAUUGUAUUCUUUUAAUGUUGUGGCCCCAAUGGCCAAGUCUUGUAUAUGUAGGUUUGGACUUACUUACAUUGUUUGUUUUAUCAAUGCAUCAUAUCCAUACUAGC